CUUCCUCAUUUUUCAUAUGUCUUCUUCUUCCUCUCUCUUCACUGAUUUUUCUUCCUGUUGUUUUUACAGGAGAGAAUUAAAGAUAGAAUAGAUGCGGCUAGAGAAGACUCUAGUUUGGAUUUUGAGGGUUGCUGCUGCUGCUGGAAAGGAAGUCAUGAUACAGCAAACCCUAGGCUCUAGCUACUUUGGAUUGAUUUUGUUUCCUGUAUUCAAUUCUGCUAAAGCACAAGCAGGCCACCACUCAGUUUUGUUAACUGAGAGGUGCACAGCUCAGUUUCGUUAACUGAGAGGUGCAAAGGCAGGCCGCUGCUCAGUUUCGUUAACUGAGUGGGACGGUAAAUGCAAGGGCAGGCCGCCACUUAGUUCCAUGAACUUUGGGGAGUAGCACCACUCAGGUGUGAAGGCAGGCCCCCACUUAGUUCCAUGAACUUUGGGGAGUAGCACCACUCAGUUCUGUUUACUGAGAGGUGUGAAGGCAUAAAUGUGUGCUAAAUAUAAUACGUCUUGCUCACCAAAGCAGCUUUGGGAUAGAUACACGUUCAACUGCAACUUUUGGAAGACAAACAGGUGAGCUUCUCUCUCUCCCCCUCUCUUCUCUUUCAUUCUUACUCGAGGACCGGAGUAUCUUGCUUGUUUUUUUGUUGCAAAACUUAUUACUUAUUCCAGGGACAUAUUCAGUGGGGAGAGUCUUUUAAGGCAGAAAUAGAAUGCUUGCCUGCUUGGCCUUUGAUCAGCCUGUUGCUUGGGUAAAGUUUCACUGAAAAUAGCCAUGUUUAGCUUUUGUUAUAUGACUUAUGUUGCUCACUAGACUGCUGGUACUCUGGUAGCAUAUUUAGUUUUAUUCUUUCUUUCAUAAUUAAAUCUUGGUCUGCAAAUGUUUGCAAAGGAAGAAAACAAGUUACAUUUCAAAUCAAAAGGUAUACAUUCUUAACUUUAUCUCAAUGUAUACAUGUCUAUCAUUCUUGUUCUUGAUGAGUACAUUUUUGCCUUUACAAAGACAUUUAGUAGUUAUCAUCUUAUGGUUAUGGAUAAACAAUUGCAAGAAAGACAAUGGUAAGUCUUGAGGCAGUGAUGAUCAUUACUAGCUUGGGUCCAGGCAUAGGUAAAAUCUCUCUUCAUCAGCCAUGGCAGGGUAACUCGGGACGGCCUUAUGGAAGAAUUUUGUUUCCCCAUUUUUCUUUCAUUUAGGCCACCGUUUCUGCCGCUAUGCAGGAGAUAGAUGCCUUUCCCUGUCCGACCCAAGAUAAACCUGAGCCUCUCUCUAAUACUGGUUGCAGUUUAGAGUCAUGCAUGUAACUAGUUAUCUGCCUCUGUAUUUUGUUUUAAAUAAAAAGGUAAUCAGCUGUAAUUAACUCUUUGCUAACCAUAUUCUGCAUUGCUUUCUUUCUAAUUUCAUCUUCGGAUUAUCUUUUUUGUUUUUGCAGGUCUUGCCCUCAUAUUCCUAUGAUAAAUUAAGGAGAGCUGUUGGAAAGAUAUCUAGUGUCUCGUGGACAAUGUUACCUGUUUGGAUUUUGUUCAGUUCAUCUCGAUGUAAUAGUUCUCUGAAGCCUGAAAAAUCAAUUGCUGUCUACGAGUGAAGAUGUAGAACAAUUAUGCCAACUUGCGGGGGGAAGAGACGGAGGUUGUGUGUGAACAUAAAUAUUGGAUAGGUGCACCACAACAAUGCUCUAUCAAGCUUGGCAUCAGCAUCCUGAGAUUGGCAUCUCUGUCUUUGGAUGCGACGCCUGAGUGGGUGAGGGACUUCUUCUAGGAAGAUGAUUUCUCGUCCAAUUGGGAUGACAUGCUGAUACACAAGUUUUCCUUCUUCUACAGUGACUGCGAAUAAAUAUUAGGACGUUGAAUAUGGGAGGCGGGAAGAUAAUAUUAUUGUGUCACUAAGGUGCGGUGGAAAGUUUAAACUACAUCCCUUGUUGUAGAGGCUCAAUUUUGAAGUCAUCAAAUGUCUAAUUUCUUUUCAUAUUUCAGCGUGUACUGAUGCAACAAACCUAGACGUGUUACCUGACCCCAUCAUAUAACCGAGUACUGUAAUAACGUUAUUACUCAGAAUUUUAUAUCCAAGCUCCUAAUUGUUGGUGUUGUAUCUGGAGUAGUCCAGUUGUGAGGAGGUUGUGGUCACUCUAGAACAUAGUAUUAAAUCAUUAUCAAAGGGAAUUCUAUCACUGUGUUUCUUUUAUCAAUUAAAUGAGAUUACAGGAGUA